rnacentral:tRNA from 1 species
GGACUGGUAGCUCAGUGGUCAGAGCGAGCGGUUCCGGCGAGCGGGUCUCUCGUGGUCGGGGUCGGGCCCUCUGGCAAACCGGUUGGACAAGGUACCCACUCCAACCGGACACCAGACUGGGUCACGGCCCCGCCGGGCAAAGAGACCUGCUCGCCGGGAUCGCUAGGGCGUGGGUUCGAAUCCCACUCAGUCUA